GACAAGGAGCAGUAUGUUCUGGAAUUAAAAUUAACCGGUGGGGGGGGAGGCAAGAGAUAGAAGUGGGGAGAAUUCAGCUCACAACCAGAAUCCAAUCAUGUCUGCGAGCUGAGGAACAGAUAUAUGCACCUCAGGAUGAGCUCCUGGAGCAAGGAUAACUGUAAAUGUGUGGUGAUGCAGCCCAGCAAUCACACUCCUACCACACACCUAAGGAGUUGGAAGCACGCUCAUAUCGACUUAAACCUGCAUGGUACCACGGUUGAAUACAGGUCAGUCACCCCGUCAGAGACAGCCAGAAUGCCCACCAUGCCGUGAAUGGAUAAACACUUUUUACUAGAAUUCUAUUCAGCAAUAAGCACAACCAAUCGAUUCAUGUGAGAGUUUGGACGAAUCUGAAAGGCACUGAAGCCAGACAGAAAAGGUUGCCCAUGCACAGGAAAUCCUGUAUACUGCACGAGGUGGGAGUCGGGAAAAGCUGAGCUUAGCAUUUGCAGGAGUUGGACCAGCAUUGAGUCAUGAGUGGGUCGUCCGUAUAAUGUAUGCAGCUGUCCAAACUCGUGGAAUCAUACAGUUAAAAUCAAUGAUUCUUAUUGUACAUAAAUUGCACCUCGAUGCAAAGAGGGGGAAAUAGAAGUAAAGACAGUAUUAAUCAGACAGGGUUACUCAGCUGCGUGUCUCAAUGAUUCCCGACACACCAUUCCCAAACAAGAAGCAAUGUGUUGCUUACUGCAGUGAAACUGGUCAGCUGCAGGGUUUCAUUACCAGCCAUGAGUGAGCCAGGGCUGUGCGCAGCAUCGUGGACACGCUCCACAAACAUUAUUUAUGGAACAAAAGAAGCCAGGUAGGGAGAAUCAUGCUCUCUGACUCUCUGUAAAAUAAAAACAAAUGAACAAACAAAAGAAAACAAACCAGACCAGCUGUAGCGGCUGGGAUAGAUUCCUUCUACAAAUGCCUAAGCAAGUGCAGGAAGAAGCUCUGGUUGGCUGACAGGUCCUGGGCCGUGUCUCGGGCACUUCUGUCUUUCGUAAGUUAGAUAAAUGCUUGUUUCUAUGCCAUGAAGAUAGCACAUUGUAUAUUUAAUAUUUUCUGUGUUACAUUCUAUAAGACUUUGAACAUAGUAAGAAACACUGUUGUGUCUCUGAGAACUCGGCUACGGUUUCAUGAAUUCUUUGGAAGAUUCACCGUUGGGUGUUUUGCACAGAGGAUGCCUGCACUGCCUGUGUGAAGUAACAGAUUAACGUGGCUGUUCCUAGGAAAAAAAGGGGGGUCGGGAGGGGGUGAGGCUUAACAAUGAACAUUUCAACUAUUUGGCUACUUGUGAUGCAUGAACGCUUGUCCCCAGAAUCCACAGGCGAGAAACGUGACCCCCAAAGUCAUAUGCUCAUGGUGUUUGGUGGAACCUUUGGGAUAUAAUUGGUUGAGCGGUUUUGUUGUGGAAGAAGCUCUUUGGCUGCUCUGUCUUGCCAAGUCAUUCCUUACACCAUACUAUACACAGCACAAGGGCUUCACAGUUGCAAGCACUUCUGAAGUGUUAGCUAAAUAAACCAUUGUUCUUUGUAAAUGUUAUUCAGUUACAGUAAAAGAAGGUAGACUAAGACAUAUGUUAAUAAAAUAUUUAAAA